CAGAGGCAGCAGUAACCAACUCUCACGUCAUCUUGACAUAAAGAUUUGUCUCUUUCCAGCAGAACACAAACAGCUAGUACUCACCCGUAUUCUGAACUGGCAUCUCUCUGAAGCUGUUACCUACAUCUCCAGAAUAUCAGCUUUCGUAUUUUUUAAAAAGUUUAGGAAGGAGAAUCUGCAAAGAACUAUUGACCUCCACCCUUCCCUGCUGCCAUAAUGGAAAACCACAGGGCCGCCGUGAAUCCGCAAGGAAGCUGGGACCGGGCCUAAGGGGCAGCACUCCUCAGUUAUGCAUGGUUCCAUCUACCAGAAUCUACCAGGACAUGCUUGCUUAUGCACGCAGAAGCAGAGGGGAGCAUUUUGCUUGUCCAGUUGGGCCAGCGGCUACUCUAACUUGUAUUGGGUGCCAGUUCAACUCCUGAACAACUACUCAUCAAACA